CUGGUCGUUUAAUCGGACACAGAAGAGGCGUAACAAGGUCGAAGCUAACUGUUGUUAAUAUGUGUAAUAGCAAGAUCUCCAAGUUAGAAGAAGAGCAACAGAAUAUGAAGCUCAAAAUGACUGAAAUGAUGAAUCUACUUAAAGAACACUUGGUUGGUGGUAAAGUGACACCAAGCGAAGGACAGUCUCGCAAUGUACCGCAGUCAAACAAUAUUCAGUCCCCUAAGAGUAUUGCACUAGAAAAAAGACAUAACUUUACAGAAGGGAAGAAUGCUUGCUACUUGCUUGACUGAGCAGAUGUAAUUGUUGCUGAAGGUCGUUGGGAUUCUAGUGAUCCAAAGAUAACUGUACAUGGAAAGCCUCUUGGACCAGACUUUAUGCGAGUAUGGGUUGAUGUUGAUAUUGUACCAGAAUCUUACUUAUUUCGUCCUAAUAAUGCGAUGCUUACAAUACAAGAAGCAGUUGGUUCCACAGUUGCAUGGCCUUCUAAAAAAGUUAUUCCAAGAGAUGUGACAAGCGAAAUAGAAAAGGAUACUUAAUUUUGAAGGCUUUGUGUUGGGCA